UUAGCUUAGUAUUUCUUCAUUGCGUUAUGAGUGUUUGCGUCAUGGGGUCGAGUAGGAAUGUUAUCAUUGAUCAAAAGUGCUUUGAGUUUAUGAAGGUUAAUGAAGGGUGGUGGAGAAUCACGAAGAAUAGUUGUCGUGCGGUAAAUCAUAUUGCCAUUGAUCAAGCGUCGUUGGGGUGGUUGGCUGCCAUGAUGAAGGAAGGUGUAGCUUUUGAGGGUCCAUUUGUGUUUCUUAGAACAAGAAGAAAUGGGUCUCAAGUUUGGGUGGUGCAAAGGCAGCAAAACUCUCAUGGGAGUUUUUUCACCCUAUCGGAGUUUGGCCAAGCAAGGCGGCGUGGGAUGCUAGUGAUACCGGAAGGGAGGAAGGGGUUAGGAUGGAGAAAUCUUGGAGACUUGUUGGAGGAGCUCUCUGCAAAAUCCUCUGUUUUGGGAGGGAAUAACAGAGGGACUUACCCACUGAUACCCUCUCCUCCGUCACAGUACUACCAAGCCUCCUCUUCGCACAGGGAGGUCUUGUCUCGAGCCUCAAAACAUGAAGAGAGGCUAGUCGGUUCUUCCUCUUUGGUGAAAGCGCAGUUUUGUGAAGGGAAUGGCAGGAAGGUGUCGGGGACAAAUGUGGCAUCUCUGUUGCAUGCAUUGACUGAAAUGGAGAAGCAAGUGGGUUGCUUGCAUAUUAAUAUGGGGAUAAUGAAACGCUGCGUUGAAGAGGGGAUGAAGGACUGGGGUAUGGGCCAGGAUGAAGGCCCACGUAAUGGGCUGGGUAAAGGGAAGGCUGUGGCCUUUGACGGCUCAGUGGCCUUGAGGGGAUUUCAAGUGGGCUAGUGGCCUUCUAUGCAGGCCCAGGGGGAGCACCAGGCCCAAGCAGAAGCCUGUCUGGAGGAAGAAGCCGCUGCUCCCUGGUGGCCCGUCGACGUCUUGGCCCGCGUCACUGUUGCUGGCGAUACCACAGAUGACAUCACCGAAGACCAUAGAAGCUCCGACGGAGGUCCUGGUGCCGAAGUUUGUUCUUUUCGAAGCUGGUGGAGGGAUUAACGUUGCGUCGCGUGGUCACGAUGAUCUGAUUUCUGCUCAGAUCACUUCGCCGGAGCAUUCCGGUGCACAGAAAACGGCGAAGAAGUCAGAGAAGGUGUCUGAGAGCAGCGGCAAGGCUGCUGUCCUCGAGCUGGUCACGACCAGUCCCCGCGAUGAGAUUUUGGCCACUGUUCUCGAGUUUUUGACCUCACCUCAGGCACAGAAAGCUUCGACAGUUUCUGGGGAAGACUUGGGUGGAUUGGAGAUGGUGUCCUAUGCGCCAGCGAUGGAGGUAGGGGAUACGGUGGACGAAGUAAGGUCAGUGGAGGAGGGGACACUGUGGAAGCAGUCUUUGAUUUUUGAAGAUAGUGAGGAGGAGGAGAUGGGUAGUCUGUCUCCUCUACAAACACUUCCCCCUCAGAUCGCGCCUAGAGCAUCAGAUUGGGUGUUAAAAAAAGUCGGGGAACUUCAAGGUUGGGUGGGAUUAACAUGUGAUCGAUAUGAAGAACGAUUUAUGGCUCUCCUAAUAGCCAUGGAAGCGGGCCGUCCCACGGCCAUGAAGUCAGCUGUUAGAAAGGAGAGAGAACUGAAACGAUUAGAAUGUUCUAUCAAUUAUGAUAACAAGGAGGGAACUUCAGGAAGGGAUAGAUCAAAAGGAAGGGACUCAAUUUUUGUUAAUGAAGCCUAAAAUAUUGUCUUGGAAUGUAAGAGGGAUCAAUGAUGUGAAUAAACGCCUUCGCAUUAGAUCUCUUUUACGAAGUUGGAAAGUUGAUAUCGUUUGUUUGCAAGAGACUAAACUGUGUGGUGUUGAUAGAAGUAUAAUUCGCAGUUUGUUGGGUAGUUCCUUUGUGGGGUGGUGCUAUUUAGCUUCGUUGGGGGCUUCGGGAGGGGUGUUGGUUAUGUGGGACAGGAGAGUGGUGGAGAUAGUAGAGGACUGCAUCGGGUCCUUUUCCAUGGCUGUAUCUUUUAGGAAUACUGAGGAUGGGUGGAGGUGGGCUCUUGCGGGUGUGUAUGGGCCUAAUGUGGAUAGUGAUAGAAGCUUAUUGUGGGAGGAAUUGGCGGGUCUAAAUUCUUUAUGGGAUUUACCUUGGAUUUUUUGUGGUGAUUUCAAUGUUGUUCGGUUCCCUAGUGAGAGAGCGGGGACAUCUACGUCGACAAGUGUAACGGAAAAUUUUUCUGAGUUGAUUUUUGAGUUAAAUCUCGUGGAUCUUC